ACCCGUGUGGCUCAGUUGGUAGAGCAGGGUUCUUUCAAUGCCAGGGUUGUGGGUUUUAUUCCCACUUGGGGUA
rnacentral:tRNA from 1 species